rnacentral:rRNA from 1 species
UACGUAGGUGGCGAGCGUUGUCCGGAAUUACUGGGUGUAAAGGGCGUGUAGGCGGGGAUGCAAGUCAGAUGUGAAAUGCCGGAGCUUAACUUCGGAGCUGCAUCUGAAACUGUGUCUCUUGAGUGUCGGAGAGGAAAGCGGAAUUCCCAGUGUAGCGGUGAAAUGCGUAGAUAUUGGGAGGAACACCAGUGGCGAAGGCGGCUUUCUGGACGAUAACUGACGCUGAGGCGCGAAAGCGUGGGGAGCAAAC